AAAGAUCGAAACAAUUGCUGAAUCGGAAAGAAAACAGAGACAACACAAGACAGUGUUUACGUGGUUCGGCAAGGUGCCUACAUCCACGGAGGGUAAAGGAAAUUCUUAUUGCUCUCGCCGGAGAAGGUAACCGGAAUUACAAAGAUUACACUGAGAUCUCAAGAAACUCGACUGAACUAUCACAGCAUGUAACUCACUACAAUUCUCUCAGCUCAACGAAGAAGAAGAUAACUAACUGAAAGUUACAGAACACCUUAUAAAACAGAUUACUAAUCUAAGAGCCAAAACGACACCGCUUACAGUAAAACGCGUGCAUAACCAAAUAACAACUUUAGACUCCCAAAAUAGCAAUUAACCCCCUGAUGAUCUGACUUAUAUCAGCACAGCUCCAAAACUUCGCAGACACCCAACAUCACAAUCUCCACCUUGGCAAGAAGACAACUGCAAUAAGAACUUGAACCAUUCCCCUCAACUUAUGCUCCAUUACAGAGCUUCCUCUCAAGAUUACUGGCUGUCUUGAGACACCAACUGAAUCAACCUGAUGCAGUGCUUAAACUUCGAGAUAGGAAGGACCUUUGUCAGCAUGUCGGCCGCAUUGUCCUCUGUCCCAACUUUCACGACUUUCACAAGUCCCUUGUUUACUAUAUCCUUCACAAAAUCCGCAUGUAUGUAGUCAAGAGCUUCCUUUGAUGUGUGCUUUCCCAUAGGGUAUGGGACCUUCUUGCUCUUGCCUAGUAUACAAUAUUCACAUUUCUGUGUAUUGGUAGCUCCACCUUCUUUGAGUAACCCUUUCUUUAUUAGUUGGCUUAUACCAGAUUCACUCACAUGCCCUAGCCUUUGAUGCCAGAGCGUCGGAGCAUUUGUUUCAGCUACAGCAGAUAGUCCAAUGAGGGUUACUCCAUCAAGGUGGUACAAACCAUUUCUCCUUGUUCCUUUCAGCAGAACCUUAUCACCCUUCAUCACAUAUACACUUCCAGACUUUGAUGCAAAAUCGAACCCCUUUUUUUCCAACAUACCAAGUGAGAUGAGAUUUCUCCUUAUUUCAGGGAUGUACCUUACUUCUGUAAGUGUUCUGAUGGAGCCAUCAUCUAAUUUCAAUUUCAUACUUCCAAUACCUUUGACAUUGCAGGGAUAGUCAUUUCCUAGUACAACAGACCCCAUGCUUUCUUCUUUCAAGUCUACAAACCAGUCCUUGUGGGGUGACAUGUGAAAUGAACACCCCGAGUCCAUGAUCCAUGAUUCCCCAGCAGACCCCUUCAUCACAUUCAAUACUUCAUGGUUCUCAAUUUCUUCAGCUACGUCAGCUGAAUCAGCUGUUGUAUUUCCUUGUUUCUGCUGUUUUUUCUUCCAUGAAUAACAAUUUUUCUUAAUGUGACCAGGUUUCUUACAAUGAAAACACCUUUUAGUAUCAUCAUCUUCCCCUUCCUUGGUUUUCUGCUGGUUUCCUUUCUUGGACUGAUUAUUACCUUUCUUGAAUUUCCCACUCUUCCCCUUCUUUAUGUUUAGGCUUUCUGGUUGAGAACUAGGUUUAACAUUAGAGGAUUUUUGCAUUUCUUUAGCCUUAAGAACAUUUAUAACUUCUUCAAAAGUGACCUUAUUUUCUCUACCAAACAAGAUUGCAUCCUUAAGAUGUUCAUAGGUUUUGGGAAGAGCAUUAAGCAAUAAUAUUGCCUUGUCCUCUUCCUCUAUCCUACCAUCUACACUCUCCAAAUCAUCAAGAGAUUUCUGGAAAUCGUCUAAUUGCUCAUUCAUGUCCUUAUCAUCUACUAUCUUAUACUGAUACAGAUGUUGUUUCAAAUAUAACCUAUUUGCAAUAGUCUUAGACAUGUAUAGAGAAUCAAGUUUAUUCCAUACCUUGAGUGCAGUAUCUUCUUUCGCCACUUCACGAAGAACACGAUCGCUUAGGCAUAGUAUUAUCGCACUAUGCGCUUUUUGAUCGAUUUCCUCCCAAUUAACCUUCGAUUUAUCAUCAUCCCCAGCCUUCGCCUUCAGAUCUCCCUUCAAUGCGCCAGCCAAUCCUUGUUGAAUUAGAAGUGCGCGCAUCUUAACUUUUCAGUUUCGAAUCGCAUUGAAGACAUUGUCGUGGAUCUAUUCCCACUGGACGGCGCCAAUUGUAAGAUUUAAAGAUCGAAACAAUUGCUGAAUCGGAAAGAAAACAGAGACAACACAAGACAAUGUUUACGUGGUUUGGCAAGGUGCCUACAUCCACGGAGGGUAAAGGAAAUUCUUAUUGCUCUCGCCGGAGAAGGUGACCGGAAUUACAAAGAUUACACUGAGAUCUCAAGAAACUCGACUGAACUAUCACAGCAUGUAACUCACUACAAUUCUCUCAGCUCAACGAAGAAGAAGAUAACUAACUGAAAGUUACAGAACACCUUUUAAAACAGAUUACUAAUCUAAGAGCCAAAACGACACCGCUUACAGUAAAACGCGUGCAUAACCAAAUAACAACUUUAGACUCCUAAAAUAGCAAUCAACCCCCUGAUGAUCCGACUUAUAUCAGCACAGCUCCAAAACUUCGCAGACACCAAACAUCACAUUUUAAUUGAUUAUAUGUUAUUCUGACAUGGUAUUCUAUGAUCUUGUGUGUUAAUGAUGAUCGGGCUUUGUAUUUGUUCUCUUGCAAACUGGAUUGCAUGAGUAGCUUAAUAAAUUAUUGUACUUGAAC
rnacentral:lncRNA from 1 species